UCUAUAUUCAUAAUAAUAACAAGUGAUGUGUAGAACAACAUAUCAACAUAUUUUGAAAAUUGCGUAAUGCCAUGACGGGAAGUUAGAAAGCUGUUAAGUCAAUAUUUAGAGAGAAAGGUAUUGUUUUACAGAACGACAGAGCUGGCUGCAAUGAACUGAGAGUGUUGCUGUAAAAAUUUCAAGUAAGUUUGUUCAUAUUUUUACAUUACGUUCCCAC
rnacentral:lncRNA from 1 species